AGUACGUAAGUUAAUAAGCACCUCUGGAUGUGAUUCAGGGUCAAACGGGUUUGUCAUAUUGUUGAUGACAUGGCUGGUAAGAACUUUGCCAUGCUCCUCAUCCCUCUUCAGUGCAAAGGUAAGGACUUGUUUGUGGACUGUCUUCGCUACUUCUUGUUAGGCCAUUUCUCCUAUAGCUUUUGCACAUUCAUAAUAUGAAGUGGUGUACUGUCAUCUCGAACACUAAUAAUGAAUGACUUUUGCGUAAGUGUCACAAUUAAAAAGCUAGUUUCUAGAAUAUUUCAGAAGACUAGUACUACAUGCCUAGGCAAAUUACAAAUAACCUUCUAGCCUACCAAGCAGGCUAGAAACUACACUGUAUGUACAAAAGCUUA